UCCUAGACUACUCCAUCUGUUGUUCGAGGUCCCAAGGGAGAUCCUGGUUCUCCUGGUACUCCAGGCAGAAAUGGUGCCCCUGGCCCUCCUGGACAGCCAGGGAGUCCUGGAGCUCCUGGUCCCCCAGGGAUCUGUCAGUCAUGUCCCAGUGUCAGCGGAGGCAGUUUUUCUCCUCAGUAUGACUCCUAUGAUGUGAAGGCCGGUUCAGCUGGUAUUGGUUACCCUCAGCCCAUUGUAAGAUGAUAGUCUUUUCUUUUUC